CCCUUAGAUGUCCUGGGCCGCACGCGCGCUACACUGAGUGUCUGAGAUACGAGUCUGCCUGGUCCGGCAAGGUCUAGGUAAUCGCUAAAAGACACAUCAUGCUUGGGAUAGAUUAUUGCAAAUAUUAAUCUUGAACGAGGAAUUCCUAGUAAGCGCAAGUCAACAGCUUGCGUUGAUUACGUCCCUGCCCUUUGUACACACCGCCCGUCGCUACUACUGAUUGGAUGUUUAAGCGAGGUUCUCGAACUGCUAGCGACUGAGCUUCGGUGAGGUCGCAGUGUGGGAAGUGAACCUAGCUUUGGUGUCUAGAGGAAGUAAAAGUCGUAACA
rnacentral:rRNA from 1 species